rnacentral:rRNA from 1 species
AGUGAACGCUGGCGGUAGACCUAACACAUGCAAGUCGAACGGCAGCACAGUAAGAGCUUGCUCUUACGGGUGGCGAGUGGCGGACGGGUGAGGAAUACAUCGGAAUCUACUUUUUCGUGGGGGAUAACGUAGGGAAACUUACGCUAAUACCGCAUACGACCUACGGGUGAAAGCAGGGGAUCUUCGGACCUUGCGCGAUUGAAUGAGCCGAUGUCGGAUUGGCUAGUUGGCGGGGUAAAGGCCCACCAAGGCGACGAUCCGUAGCUGGUCUGAGAGGAUGAUCAGCCACACUGGAACUGAGACACGGUCCAGACUCCUACGGGAGGCAGCAGUGGGGAAUAUUGGACAAUGGGCGCAAGCCUGAUCCAGCCAUACCGCGUGGGUGAAGAAGGCCUUCGGGUUGUAAAGCCCUUUUGUUGGGAAAGAAAAGCAGCAGGUUAAUACCCCGCUGUUCUGACGGUACCCAAAGAAUAAGCACCGGCUAACUUCGUG